UCUGCUGCUCGGUGGGGUUGCUCAGGGCCGGCUGCCGCCGGGCUUGCUCGCCCUGGCCCGGUGCUGCCCCGUGGUGGCAGGA